rnacentral:lncRNA from 1 species
CCUGACCGCGCCGCCCCCGGCGCGCCUGGCGCUGUCUGGCCGGUCGCUUGGCCCGGGUGGAAGCUAUGAGCGCGCCGCCAGCGGGGCUCCUCGGAGGCGGCGGGGCAGGCCCGAGCUGGGCUCCUGUGGCCGGGGUGGGAGGAGAAGAGGCCGCGCGGCACGGGUGAGUGCCCAGGUAACUCAUAUGCCUCCCAGAUGUUUAUAUUUGGAAAGAGGGAAGAAGACCCAAAUAAUAACUGAGAUCAAAUUUCUCACCAACUCACUGGGACUCUGAGAGAUGCAUUUCAUUUGAUUUAAAGAAAAUAAAUUACUUUGAAACUAGACUUGA